rnacentral:tRNA from 1 species
GCCCCCAUCGUCUAGAGGCCUAGGACGGCGGCCUUUCAAGCCGUAAACAUGGAUUCGAAUUCCAUUGGGGGCA